UGCCAGACUCCUACGGGAGGCAGCAGUGGGGAAUAUUGCACAAUGGGGGAAACCCUGAUGCAGCGACGCCGCGUGAGUGAAGAAGUAUUUCGGUAUGUAAAGCUCUAUCAGCAGGGAAGAAAAUGACGGUACCUGACUAAGAAGCCCCGGCUAACUACGUGCCAGCAGCCGCGGUAAUACGUAGGGGGCAAGCGUUAUCCGGAUUUACUGGGUGUAAAGGGAGCGUAGACGGCAUGGCAAGUCAGAUGUGGAAGCCCGGGGCUCAACCCCGGGACUGCAUUUGAAACUGUCAGGCUGGAGUGCAGGAGAGGUAAGUGGAAUUCCUAGUGUAGCGGUGAAAUGCGUAGAUAUUAGGAGGAACACCAGUGGCGAAGGCGGCCUGCUGGACGAUGACUGACGUUGAGGCUCGAAAGCGUGGGGAGCAAACAGGAUUAGAUACCCUUGUAUC
rnacentral:rRNA from 1 species